rnacentral:ncRNA from 1 species
GUAUCACAGGAGAGGAGAUAAAGAUAGCCCUCUCAACAAGGAUGGAAGACAUUCUUCUAGCCCGUACAGCACAUACACAGUGAAGGCAUUGCUAUCUGUUCAUGGUUUGUUUUU